CCUACGGGGGGCUGCAGUGAGGAAUAUUGGUCAAUGGACGAGAGUCUGAACCAGCCAAGUAGCGUGAAGGAUGACUGCCCUAUGGGUUGUAAACUUCUUUUAUAUGGGAAUAAAACGUUCCACGUGUGGGAUUUUGUAUGUACCAUAUGAAUAAGGAUCGGCUAACUCCGUGCCAGCAGCCGCGGUAAUACGGAGGAUCCGAGCGUUAUCCGGAUUUAUUGGGUUUAAAGGGAGCGUAGGUGGAUUGUUAAGUCAGUUGUGAAAGUUUGCGGCUCAACCGUAAAAUUGCAGUUGAAACUGGCAGUCUUGAGUACAGUAGAGGUGGGCGGAAUUCGUGGUGUAGCGGUGAAAUGCUUAGAUAUCACGAAGAACUCCGAUUGCGAAGGCAGUUCACUGGACUGUAACUGACACUGAGGCUCGAAAGUGUGGGUAUCAAACAGGAUUAGAUACCCCAGUAGUC
rnacentral:rRNA from 1 species